GCGCUUCGCCCCGUGGUCCGGGUUCCGGGCCUGGCGGAGGCCGAGCCUGCCCAGCGCCGAGCGGGGGCGCCGCGACCUCGGUCCCGCCCGGGCCACCUGCGGGGCUCCGCGCCUCCGGGGCUGUCCCGGCGGGGGUCGGUCGGGGCGCCCUGCCAGCUCCGCCUCCUCCGGGGCGCCCUCUCCGCUUUCGCUUUCUGUUCCCGGGUCGGGGAGGCGGGCGCGGCGGCGCGAGGGCCAGCGGGGCAGCGGCGGGCCCCCAGGUACGGCGGGUGCGACCCCGGGGCCCCCGCCGGCCCCCCGACCCCCGGCCGCGCUGCGGGGCUCGAGAGGGGCUCGAGAGGGGCUCGAGAGGGGCUCGGCGCCGGCCACCUGCUGGUGCCCGCGGGGGCGGCCGGGGAGCCGGGGCGCGCGGCGGAGGCGAGCGAGGCGCGGAGGGCUGGCUGGCGGCCUGGGGGCUGGGGGGCCUGGGGCGCUGGAGGGGCCGUGGGACCUGGGCCCGAGUCCGCAGGGACGCGGGGGGGGGGCGGCCGGGGGCGGGGGCGCGGGGGCGCAGGGUCAGCGCGCCUCUUCCCGGCAGGCGGGAGCGGCCCCCUCCGAGCGCCUCGCCGCUGGUUUCCCCCCCACCCCGGCUUCCUCUCCCGCCCUCCGGCUACCCCCCUGGUCCCCCAAGCCCCACCCUCGGCCCCUCCGGCUCCUCCCCAGGCCCCCCCACCUCCCCAGCCCCCCCCCGGCUCCUCCCCCAACCCCCCUGAGGCCCCCCCUUGGCUCCCCGGCUCCUCCCCAGGCCCCUCCACCUCCCCAGCCCCCCACCCCGGCUCCUCCCCCGACCCCUCCUCAGGCCCCCUCCUCGGCUCCCCCGGCUCCUCCCCAGGCCCCCCCCACCUCCCCAGGCCCGCCCUCCGCUCCACCCUAGGCCCCCCGGCUCCUCCCCCGACUCCUCCGCAGGCACCCCCCUCGGCUUCCCUGGCUCCUCCCCAGACCCCCCCCACCUCCCCAGGCCCCCCCACCUCCCCAGCCCCCCUCGGCUCCUCCCCCGACCCCUCCUCAGGCCCUCCCCUCGGCUCCCCCGGCUCCUCCCCAGGCCCCCUCCACCUCCCCAGGCCCGCCCUCCGCUCCACCCUAGGUCCCCCGGCUCCCCCCCCUCCUCCGCAGGCAACCCCCUCGGCUUCCCUGGCUCCUCCCCAGGCCCCCCCCACCUCCCCAGCCCCCCCCGGCUCCUCCCCCGACCCCUCCGCAGGCCCCCCUCCG
rnacentral:lncRNA from 1 species